UACGGGGGGAGCAAGCGUUGUUCGGAUUUACUGGGCGUAAAGGGCGCGUAGGCGGCCACCGCAAGUCGACUGUGAAAUCUCCGGGCUUAACCCGGAAAGGUCAGCCGAUACUGCGGGGCUAGAGUGCAGAAGGGGCAACUGGAAUUCUCGGUGUAGCGGUGAAAUGCGUAGAUAUCGAGAGGAACACCUGCGGCGAAAGCGAGGUCCUGGACGCCUGCUGACGCUGAGACGCGAAAGCCAGGGGAGCGAACGGG
rnacentral:rRNA from 1 species